CCCUUAGAUGUUCUGGGCCGCACGCGCGCUACACUGACGAAUGCAACGAGCUUAUAACCUUGGCCGAUAGGUCUGGGUAAUCUUUGAACGCUGUUCGUGAUUGGGAUAGACCUUUGCAAUUAUGGGUCUUCAACGAGGAAUUCCUAGUAAACGCAAGUCAUCAGCUUGCAUUGAUUACGUCCCUGCCCUUUGUACACACCGCCCGUCGCACCUACCGAUUGAAUGGUCCGGUGAAAUCUCGGGACGGCGGCUUGGUCGCUUGCGUCCGACUGCUGAAACUUGAUUAAACCAUAUCAUUUAGAGGAAGGUGAAGUCGUANCA
rnacentral:rRNA from 1 species